UACGGAGGGUGCAAGCGUUAUCCGGAUUCACUGGGUUUAAAGGGUGCGUAGGAGGGCAGGUAAGUCAGUGGUGAAAUCUCCGAGCUUAACUUGGAAACUGCCGUUGAUACUAUCUGUCUUGAAUAUUGUGGAGGUGAGCGGAAUAUGUCAUGUAGCGGUGAAAUGCUUAGAUAUGACAUAGAACACCCAUUGCGAAGGCAGCUCACUACGCAUAUAUUGACGCUGAUGCACGAAAGCGUGGGGAUCAAACAGG
rnacentral:rRNA from 1 species